CUCAGGACGAACGCUGGCGGCGUGCUUAACACAUGCAAGUCGAGCGGAAAGGCCCCUUCGGGGGUACUCGAGCGGCGAACGGGUGAGUAACACGUGAGCAACCUGCCCCUGACUCUGGGAUAAGCCCGGGAAACUGGGUCUAAUACCGGAUAUGACGCAUUCUCGCAUGGGAUGUGUGUGGAAAGUUUUUCGGUUGGGGAUGGGCUCGCGGCCUAUCAGCUUGUUGGUGGGGUGAUGGCCUACCAAGGCGACGACGGGUAACCGGCCUGAGAGGGCGACCGGUCACACUGGGACUGAGACACGGCCCAGACUCCUACGGGAGGCAGCAGUGGGGAAUAUUGCGCAAUGGGCGGAAGCCUGACGCAGCGACGCCGCGUGGGGGAUGACGGCCUUCGGGUUGUAAACCUCUUUCAGCAGGGACGAAGCUAACGUGACGGUACCUGCAGAAGAAGCGCCGGCUAACUACGUGCCAGCAGCCGCGGUAAUACGUAGGGCGCAAGCGUUGUCCGGAAUUAUUGGGCGUAAAGAGCUCGUAGGCGGUUUGUCGCGUCUGUCGUGAAAGCCCACGGCUUAACUGUGGGUCUGCGGUGGAUACGGGCAGACUAGAGGCAGGUAGGGGAGAAUGGAAUUCCCGGUGUAGCGGUGAAAUGCGCAGAUAUCGGGAGGAACACCGGUGGCGAAGGCGGUUCUCUGGGCCUGUACUGACGCUGAGGAGCGAAAGCGUGGGGAGCGAACAGGAUUAGAUACCCUGGUAGUCCACGCCGUAAACGUUGGGCGCUAGGUGUGGGGUCCUUCCACGGAUUCCGCGCCGCAGCUAACGCAUAAGCGCCCCCG
rnacentral:rRNA from 1 species